rnacentral:lncRNA from 1 species
GCUGAUAUUUGUUCUAUUCUUUUAUCACAAGGAUUGUGGAAGGAUAAGCUUAUAUGGGCAAUAAGUAAUCAACUGCAAGUUUGUUUAUCAGACAUAAGAUAUUUAUCUCUCACUAAUUCGAUCUGUUCACCAAAUAUAGGGGAAUUUUUUUAUGGAUUUAAGAGCUUAAAUUAAGUUCCUCUUCUGGUUAAAAUAUUUUGGUGGAGUGUUGUGGGCUCGAUUACCAACAAAAGCUCACUCGGC